UACGGAGGAUGCGAGCGUUGUCCGGAUUUAUUGGGUUUAAAGGGUGCGUAGGCGGGUCAUCAAGACAGCGGUAAAAUCGUGGAGCUCAACUCCAUCCAGCCGUUGAAACUGAUGAUCUUGAGUGGGCGAGAAGUAUGCGGAAUGCGUGGUGUAGCGGUGAAAUGCAUAGAUAUCACGCAGAACUCCGAUUGCGAAGGCAGCAUACCGGCGCCCGACUGACGCUGAAGCACGAAAGCGUGGGUAUCGAACAGG
rnacentral:rRNA from 1 species